GACGAACGCUGGCGGCGUGCUUAACACAUGCAAGUCGAACGGAAAGGCCUGCUUUCCCUUGUGGAUUGCGGGUACUCGAGUGGCGAACGGGUGAGUAACACGUGAGUGAUCUGCCCCCAACUUGGGUAUAAGCCUGGGAAACUGGGUCUAAUUCCCGAUAGGACUGCAGGGUGGUGCCUGUGGUGGAAAACGAUUUUCUAGUGGUUGGGGAUGAGCUCGCGGCCUAUCAGCUUGUUGGUGGGGUAAUGGCCUACCAAGGCGGCGACGGGUAGCCGGCCUGAGAGGGUGGACGGCCACAUUGGGACUGAGAUACGGCCCAGACUCCUACGGGAGGCAGCAGUGGGGAAUAUUGCACAAUGGGCGGAAGCCUGAUGCAGUGACGCCGCGUGGGGGAUGACGGCCUUCGGGUUGUAAGCUCCUUUCGACCGCGAGGAAGCCACCUGGUUGGAAGGGUGGUGACGGUAGUGGUAGAAGAAGCACCGGCUAACUACGUG
rnacentral:rRNA from 1 species